GCUGGGCGUGGCAGCACAUGCCUGUAAUCCCAGCUACUCGGGAGGCUGAGGUAGGAGAAUCGCUUGAACCUGGGAGGCGGAGGUUGUGGUGAGCCGAGAUCGUGCCACUGCACUCCAGCCUGGGGAACAAGAGCGAGACUCCGUUUCAAAAAAAAAAAAACCAAAAAACGAAAAAACUAAGUUUAAAUUUUUCUGGUCAAUACAACUUUUUGUAUUUUUUUUUAUUUUUUAUUUUGGGAGGAAGUCUCACUCUGUCGCCCAGGCUGGAGUGCAGUGGUGCAAUCUCGGCUCACAACCUCUGCCUCCCCGGUUCAAGCGAUUCUCCUGCCUCAG
rnacentral:sRNA from 1 species